rnacentral:rRNA from 1 species
UACGGCGGUUAUGGCGAGAAGGAAACACCCGGUUACAUUCCGAACCCGGAAGUUAAGCUUCUCUGCGCCGAUGGUACUGCACUCGGGAGGGUGUGGGAGAGUAGGUCACCGCCGGAC